AACGCGAAGAACCUUACCAACCCUUGACAUCCCAGGACCGGCCCAGAGAUGGGUCUUUCACUUCGGUGACCUGGUGACAGGUGCUGCAUGGCUGUCGUCAGCUCGUGUCGUGAGAUGUUCGGUUAAGUCCGGCAACGAGCGCAACCCACAUCCCUAGUUGCCAGCAGUUCGGCUGGGCACUCUAUGGAAACUGCCCGUGAUAAGCGGGAGGAAGGUGUGGAUGACGUCAAGUCCUCAUGGCCCUUACGGGUUGGGCUACACACGUGCUACAAUGGUAGUGACAAUGGGUUAAUCCCAAAAAGCUAUCUCAGUUCGGAUUGGGGUCUGCAACUCGACCCCAUGAAGUCGGAAUCGCUAGUAAUCGCGUAACAGCAUGACGCGGUGAAUACGUUCCCGGGUCUUGUACACA
rnacentral:rRNA from 1 species